GCUAUCAUUUUUAAAUCGGCAAACACACUACAAAGAGUUUAUCUUCCAGAUAAAGAACUGUUGAAGAGAUUUUUUCCACUUAUUUUCAUAAUUGCUAUGUUUCUUCUUAUUUGGACCAUAUCAGAGAAAGUCAAAACGGAAAUCUUGGAAACUUCCAGUCAUUUGAAAUAUGAAGUGUGUUUGAGUAGCUAUUUGGUUUAUGCUAUUCGAUGUGUUGAAGCGUUAUUGCUCUUGCUUGGUGUGUAUAUGUGUUAUGUUGUGAGAAAAGCACCUGGACAUUUUAAUGAAAGUAAAUACAUUACAUGGUCAGUUUAUAAUGGUAUCCUGCUUGGAAGUUUUCUCUUGAUUCUGACACAUGUAAUUGGCCAUUCCCAUGGACCAGAUAUGCUGUACCUGUUCGAGUGUCUACAGAUUCAAGUUUUUGCUACUAUAACUCUGACGUUGAUUUACGUUCCUAAGUUGAUAGCAUUGUACAGAAAUGAAGAUAUAAAGAAAGGCUCCAAUACCUUGAGUUUCCCUUAUGGCACCAAAAAUAAUAGAACAAACUCUAUUGACCUUAUUCAAGCAAAGGCCACACACAGUUAUGAAAUUCAAACAGCAGCUCCAAAGCCAAUUUACAGCAGCAAAUAUUUGAAAACGGACACAACUUUUACACAACAGGCGAAAAUUUGCCCAACUAAGUCGAUUGGUACACAAACUCAUUCAAAUACGGACAUGGACAACUUAUGAUUUGGGCACUGUGUCGUAGAAGGCAAGUUAUAUCUAGCUAGGCAUUCAUCCGGACAUGUGAUGCAAGAAUAUCACAAUCACCAAAUAUGUCCUUGCUUUGUUAUGCCUAUCUAUGUUUUUAUCAUCAUUUCAAACUCAAAUAUCAUUAUUUUCAAAAGGAAAUUUAUAUCUAAGUCGAACCUCAACACAAAGAGAGGACUCUCGGAUGCGAGGGAAUACUGAUUGAUGAUAGCAGUGACCUUUGUUAUUGAGAACCAAACUGCAUAGGUAGUAUAAUAGUCGGUCCAAAAAAUGUCAACCUGACAAGACAAGACAUGUUUGAACUUAUACGAUAUUGAAAAGCUUGCAGCUGAUUCUAAUGCUUUGUAAAACGUCAUUGGAGACUGUGCAUAACAUAAUUGAGCCAGGAUUUUGUCAAAGAACGUCUCAUCAAUUAUUUCAAAAGUUCAUCAAGAAAGUAUCAAUUCAGUAUGUACCUCACAAAUAAUACAGGAUGGUCUUGAGUAUAAGAUUCUAAGUGCCGACGUUGUGUGUCAUUUUAUUUACUGUACAGUUUUCUCUUAAGCUGUCUUUGUACUAUUAUGUUCCUUUUGGUCAUAUGGCUCUUGGCGUGGCUCGAUAUUUGUACAUUCAGCUUUUUGUUUUUUUGUUUUAGGUUUUUCUGGUGCGGUUCGGACCAUCAGGUUUUUAUAGUUUUGUUUUCAUUUUGUAUACUCUUAUUUUACUAAAUGUGUGCUUUAUCGGGAGAGUGUAUAUGUCAUUAUGUUUUACUAAACUGUAUUUACUAUCAAAUACAAGAACUUUUUUGUUGGCAUGUUUGUUGGAUUUGUUAGUGUGUUUGUUUGCAGUCUAAACUCGGUUUUGUUGUAUGUAUGUGAUGUAGGUUUAUGGCUGCUGGAUUCCAAUUCUUGUCGCGUUAUCCAGUUGUGUCUAUUUGGGUUACUCACCCGGUUUUGUUAAUAGAACGGAACAAUAGACGACUGUCAAAGGAGGAUAAGCUAGCUAUUUGGCCAGGUUUGCCCUCCCUUUUCUUUGGUUCCAAGUCAGGAAUAUGACAGUUGUUUUCCAUUCGUUCCGUUGGUUGAUACAGUCGAGCGUUUGAAUUUGGAAGGUUUUGUGGGGUACCAUCUUUUUGAAUUUGCCUUGGAGAUCGGUAUUUUUGUAAAUACAUUUUCAGCAUAGUUAAUUAAAUUUCAUUGUUUAACGAUUACUAGUAAUUCUAAAUAUUUCAAGUGUUGAAGACCGUGUGUAAUGACAACUGUUUUAACUUCCAAUAAGAAAUAUCAAAAUAUUGCAAAUAUUAGCAUUAAAUUCAUUUUGCACAAAGAUUGUUCCAAUUUUACUGGUACAAGCAAUAUAACAAUUUAUUAAAUACAAUUCAAAAAAUCUAAUUCGUAUGCAUCAAUAAUUAGUUUAGCAAUACAUUACUAUUUUCCUGCACAUAUAACUCUCGUGCCAUUGGUAUUGCGUAGUGGUAACUUUAUUUUCAUUAACGUGGACACUGCUUUGGAACUACAAUUAUUCUGAUAAGCCUAUAGAUUUGAAAUUUGAGGAUUGAAGGAUAAGUUUAAGAACGCUUUUCGACGAUUUCAUGUGCUUUCUAUACAAAUAUUCACCUAUUUUGAAAGAAUUCAAUCAGUAAUAUUACAGAAAAUAGAAAAAAUAAAUGCAUUAUUUUUUCGAUUUUCAGUUAAAAUUCAACGAGCCAAAGUUGGAUGCAAAAUUAUAUCCAAAUAUGAGACAUAGCCCAAUUACUGUAACUUGACCUUAAAUAAAGGCAACAGUAGUAUACCGCUGUUCAAAAGUCAUACUUUUAUUAAGCUUAAACAAAUCCGGGUAACAAACUUAAACCGAGGGAAACACAUCAACUAUAAGAGGUAAACAACGGAACAGAAAUAGGUCGAAUCAUAGUCAGAUUCUCAGGUGUAUUCGGGUUUUAAAUGAUAUCUGCUAGAUUUAGAUUUAGAAAUUGUCAAGACUUCGGAUUCUUACGAUGGUCUGCCAUUUCAAAUGACGCGGAUUUCAAUUAAAUUUUAUGAUAAGACUUUAUGAAACAUUAAGAAGUGUUGUAUCUAAUUUUGUUUAUUUUUUUAAUGUUUUGUUUGUUUUCCGAUAUCGAUAGUUAAUCUUAAUCGCUAACCGAUAUCAAGCAACAAACAAAAUUAUUUGCAAGAAAUGAUUGAAAGUAAAUAGAAUCAUUAACUCGUAUAUUCAAUGUCUUGUUUGUCAAGAAACUUUUUUAAGAAUACACAAAUUUAAAUUUUACUACUUUGUUAGAUAAAGGUUAUCACUAUAAAACUAAUUAAUUGAGGAUACCAACUCUUCAACGUUUGUAUUAGGUUUUAGAUUUUCAAAUAUGUAAUCACUGAAGAGACAUGAAUUGUCGUUAUGCUCAUCUGAUUCAGUAAAAUAAGUGCCUGUACCGUUAGUGUUAUUUAAAAUAUAAGUUCUAUUGAUGAAACAAAAGAUUCACCAUAUAUCGCUCACUCGAUGAAGUUAAUCUGUAAAAUUUUAAAAAGGGAGGCACGCCAAGGGUUUUCAAUAUCUAAAAAUAAACUUUCGAUUUUAAGACCAAAGGAUGGAAUUUCAACUUUUUUCUUUUCUUUUGAUCAGCCAAAUAUAGUGUUUUCAUUGUAAGUUUUAUCUCUAACGAGAAUUCAUAAAACCAGGUUAAUUAGAAUACAAUUGACGUCAUAAACGAAUAUCAACCAAAGAAAAACAAGAAAAAAAUUUGUUGAUUUUUCAAAAAUAAAAAAAAAAAAAAACCAAUUGAUUAUAAUUAGCCAACCAUAAUUUUAUCGGAUAAUAAUUAAACAAACUCCUUAUAACACGUCUACUUAAAAAGAUAAACAACACUCUUUUCUUUUAUUAUAAAUCGCAAUAUGUACUACUGUCAAAAGGUGACAUAAUCUGGAGUUAUGUCGUCUCCAUCUAUGCUACUAAAAUAACGAGGUCCAAUUUGCUAGCCAAAAUGACGUAAAUACGACGAAUCAAAGAAUUCAACUUAUAUAUAACUAAUAUAAGACAAUGGUGUUGAUUAAAAUUACAACAUUACAGGCCCUUUUGUUUUCCACAUAAAUAAUAUUACCAAUAAUUUAUAAGUUCCGGGUCUAAUCCGAUACCGAUUCCAAUAGUAUAUUUCUUACGUAGUGUCCGGUUAUAGUAAGAAAACCAGGACGGGUUGAAACAGAAAGAUUUUUAAAGCAGAGAAAACUGUAUACCUUAUAAUCAGCAUGACUUUAUAUGAUGACAAUACGAAUACUAAAAAUCCAGGCUAACAUUAAAGCGUAGGUACUUUAAUUCAGUCACGAACCCGCGGGUAUGUUCUAGUGGCUAAUGAAAAACCACAAUUAUUAGUAAAAAAAGAGAUUGACGAUACUACAGGGACAACCAAACAAUUGUAAGCAAAAAAAUCAGACAACUCGAAAAACGUCGACAAAACAAAUAGCAGUCUACAAAACAUACAAAACAAACCCCAACAACCCCAUGUAUAAUCGCAAGUGCUCCAGAAGGCUAAAUAGAUCCUGCUCCACAUGUGGUAACAGUUAUGUUAAUCUUGGCAGUAUAUAUUGGGUGAUAAAUCUGAUUCGGUGACGUCAUAAUCAAUGAUAACAGUUAGGGAUCUUGGUUUUGACAAUUGCAACAUAUAUGUGGUUAUCUAUUACACAGAUAUUCCAUUACGGUCACCCAACCAUUAUUGCACCCUCAAACUUUCGAAAACUGUUUUAAAAUAAUACUAUAUAAUUUUUAUGCGUCCAACGCGCUUUUCUGGAUUUCAAGUUGUGAAUGAAAAUUUAUAUAUGAUAAAUAACAGAUUGAUUGUUGUUUGUUUAUAUUUAACGAAAAUAGGUCAAUAUUUUACGAAAAUUCCAAACGUAAACAAAUUUACAAUUAAUCCAAGUGGGAAGGUCUGCAAAGUGGGUCGAUCGCAAUGAAGUGCUGAACCUUAAGACUGCAACUUAAAAAGUAGGUGCCCUUGUUAUAAGCCAUAUCAAGCAGUUUUUUGCAAGAAUUAUUUAACGUGCAGAGCAUUAUUUUUCAUCUACAGAAGGCUUCUGAUUUCAAUCCCUUAUCUAAACCAAACGUUUCUGCGUGUGUAUACAACCCGUACGGCCAAACGGACGGCACUUUAACAUGGGUUCUAUACAAUCGGAGUGAAGAUGUUCGGAUGACUCUGUUUCUAUGACAUAGAGAAAUCUAUGUAUGUAGUCGAAUUAUCAAAACCAAACAAUACUUGUAAAUUUUUUAACUUUGGUAUUAUACAUGUAAAGGUAAAAAUAAUGCUUCAAUAAAGAAUGAAACAUAUUAUAAACCAGCUAUCAACAGUGUCUUACAAAAUACAUCCAUAUAUUUUCAGAUCUUGAUUUUACAAAUUCUUCGUUACAAUUGUUUCUUGCGAUUUCAAUGAACGCUUAAAUUUGGUAACAUUAUUUUACCGAUGCCUGCAUAAAGAUGAAAAAUCCUCCCGUUUAAACAUCUCACCAUUUGCUUUAGAAAAUGCGUCUCUUUUAAGUAGUUAUAAGUCUUACAUUCCAUCACAUGUGUGCAUGUUCAAAUUUAAUUAACUAGCCGAUUUUUUUUUAUUUUAGAGAUCCUUGAAUCGUUUAUUAUUAUAACAUUCAAGGUAUCAAUUUCAUUGCACCAGUUGCGCAUUUCAACAAUAUAUGUCCCUUCAGUGAUUCACAAGGCCAAACUGUACAUGUUUUGUAUAUUUAUGUAUGUAGCAAAGUAAAUAUUUAAGAAGAAUCUUUAUAAAAAAUUACCAACUAACGUAAAAUAAAAGAAGCGAAUUAAACAAUAUUUUGUUUUUGUUCUUCAACAUCAGGCGGAUCUGUUAAUUUUACUUGACGGAUAAUAUUUCUUGUUGUUUUCAUAUUUUGGGAAUGAUAAAAUUAUCAACCAUAGGUUCAACUCUGUUCUGACUGUUUAACGACAACAUGGAAACAGACGUCGAAAACGCUGUACCCUAAAAAAAAAGAAAACGUCAAAACUUAAACCUUGGUAUUUGCAAGAUAAACUGAACCUUUUUUUAAGCAGAAAAUGUCAUCAAAAGCAGAAAUUAUAGUAAAGGAGCUCACUAAAUGAAUAUUACAGUAUGAUAUAAAACAGAUUGGGAUUGCUACCGUUGUACAUUAUAAAAAAAACCUGACAUUAUGAAUAAAAAAUAUAUCUUAUAACUCCCUAUUACAUACUGAUCAACAAAUAACUGAUUAUGGCGAGGAAUUUAGCACUGUUCCGCGUAUUUUUCAAUCUGAUUUACCGUUUGCUUGAUAUUCCUUUGGUGUUUUAAAAUUUAACAAAUACAGGCCCGACAUCGAAAAGGUGCGAACUUGAUAUUUAUUAUUAUAUUAUUAUGUACAUUCCGUUCAAAGACUCGCUAUUUGUAUACUUUUGUAGUCUUGUCUUGUUUAUCAGUUGAUUUUACUUUUCCCAUGGUUUUGAUUUGUUCAGUUCCCAUACUAUCUUCUAAGUUUUUAUAUUUAUUUUUCAUUUGAAUAAACCUGGACAGGUAUCCAUUACCUGUUAUAAACAUUUCUGAGAUUGAUUUUUAUAAUUUUGGGUGAAUACAAUUACCUUUUGAUCUAAUGUUGAACAUUCAUAUGUCUGCGUCCCAACUGACAUUAAUGGUGUAGCUUCAAUGGUAUUUGUCUUCAGAUAUUUACUGUCGUAUUCUGUUUUGAACGUAUUGUUAGCUUUCUUAAUGUCUUCCUUUUUGUAUAAUGCUGAAAACUAAAACAAGACAAAAUAGUUAUAUCGGAUAGUAUGUACAGUUAUAGAUGUAUCUAUCAUAUAUUUAGUACUAAAUACAGAUUUUUUUUAUAUCUAAUAAAGGUUCUUUUCUCCA